rnacentral:rRNA from 1 species
CAGUAGCCACGGGAAUACGGAGGGUGCAAGCGUUAAUCGGAAUUACUGGGCGUAAAGCGCACGCAGGCGGUCUGACAAGUCAGAUGUGAAAUCCCCGGGCUUAACCUGGGAACUGCAUUUGAAACUGUCAGGCUGGAGUCUUGUAGAGGGGGGUAGAAUUCCAGGUGUAGCGGUGAAAUGCGUAGAGAUCUGGAGGAAUACCGGUGGCGAAGGCGGCCCCCUGGACAAAGACUGACGCUCAGGUGCGAAAGCGUGGGGAGCAAACAGGAUUAGAUACCCGGGUAGUCCCUGUCUCUUAUAA